CCAGCGCAAAAUGAACCUAGGGGUUAAUAACACAUAGGUACAGAGGUGACCGUUCUCUGGGAUAUGUUUUCAUGCUAAUCAAAUGUGACCAGCUUUAGCGCAAACCGCUAAUUAGCUUGUAACACUAGCAGUCGGGGCACAGGUAAAGGAAAAAGAAAUAGCUAUUUCUCUACCACAAACAAGGUCCAAACUAGCACCACACUUCAACUGUAGCAUAAUGGGGGUCCCUGCAUGUAAACCGAAGCAUUCAGCACUUUAUAAUUGUACA